rnacentral:lncRNA from 1 species
UUUAACUUUACAUGACAUUCAUGUAAAUAUAUGUUUAACAAUUAUAUAAAACACACUAGGCAAAUAUAAUUAAAACAUACAUCUCAUGCAUCACAUACAUAAAAUAAAACAGAUUAGGUAGUAUGGUUAUGACCUCCUAACGCACAAGAAUUAAAUAAACUACUUUAUUACAAUUCUUUGACCCACGAGCAAACUUCUCAAGCUUCUCCAUC